CGCGCAGGCGGUGAUUUAAGCAGGAUGUGAAAGGCUACGGCUCAACCGUAGACAUGCACCCUGAACUGGGUCACUUGAGUAUUGGAGAGGCAGGCAGAAUUCCCGGUGUAACGGUGGAAUGUGUAGAUAUCGGGAAGAACACCAAUGGCGAAGGCAGGUCUCUGGGCCGUCACUGACGCUGAGGAGCGAAAAGCAUGGGAGCGAACA
rnacentral:rRNA from 1 species